rnacentral:rRNA from 1 species
UACAGAGGUCCCAAGCGUUGUUCGGAUUCACUGGGCGUAAAGGGCGCGUAGGCGGUCCGCUAAGUUCGGCGUGAAAUCCCCUGGCUCAACUGGGGAACGGCGCUGGAUACUGGUGGACUCGAGUACCGGAGAGGAGAGUGGAAUUCCUGGUGUAGCGGUGAAAUGCGUAGAUAUCAGGAGGAACACCGGUGGCGAAGGCGGCUCUCUGGACGGAUACUGACGCUGAGGCGCGAAAGCGUGGGGAUCAAACAGG